rnacentral:rRNA from 1 species
GAUGAACGCUAGCGUUAGGCUUAACACAUGCAAGUCGAGGGGUAACGUGUUGGAAGCUUGCUUCCGAUGACGCCGACCGGCGGAUGGGUGCGUAACGCGUAUGCAACUUGCCUCACAGUGGAGAAUAACCCGGAGAAAUCCGGACUAAUACUCCAUACACUCUUAAGUACGCCUGUACAUGAGAGGAAAGAUUUAUCGCUGUGAGAUAGGCAUGCGUCUUAUUAGGUAGUUGGUGAGGUAACGGCUCACCAAGCCGACGAUAGGUAGGGGUGCUGAGAGGCAGAUCCCCCACAUUGGGACUGAGACACGGCCCAAACUCCUACGGGAGGCAGCAGUGAGGAAUAGUGGUGAAUGGAGGAAACUCUGAACCAGCCAAGUCGCGUGAAGGAAGAAUGUCCUAAGGAUUGUAAACUUCUUUAGCGAGCGAGUAAGGACUACCACGUGAUGGGAGUUUGAAAGUAGCUCGAGAAUAAGUAUCGGCUAACUCCGUG